AGUCCCGAGCGGCUUCGAGACAAGGAAGAGAAGCCACGCGUCUCACUUCAGCCAGUCAGUGGUCAGUGGCGUCAGCUUUGUUGUAGUAUAUGCGCCAGUCUUCUGUGAUUUCUUGAACGCUUAUUCGGGCUUUAGGUGAACCAAAAUUCUCCCAGAGCUUGGUGACAGUGGUCAGCAGCUGUGACACAAGGAGCAGCUCUCUCAGCGACGGGGAGCAGUGGACGGCGGAUGAAUACUUCGGCUCCCGCGCCUUCUUCCGCAUCAUGUCCGACCCGCCGAUCCUGGUGGUGGACGGCGUGCGUCAGAGGAGUUGAAAAAUGUGAGAGAAGACACAGUAUGUUGAGGGAAGGCAGCUGCACCAGUGACAGCAUCAGCAGAGCCCCACUACUGCUGCUGUUCCUCUCCUUCUCCCAGCACAGCAGCACACAGGACACAUUUCCAUCAUCUUUAAAUCCCGGACACUUGUGCCUUGGUAAUCUCACAGCAGCAAACCCUACAUUGCUCAGGUCAACUUCCAGCUAGAAUCAUAAUAUCUGGAGUUAUUUUUCCGCAAAGAAGGAUUCAAAAUAUCUCCCCCCAAAAUAAGAUAUUUUUAGAAAUGAAAAUCCACUCGAAUUUUCUGCCUGAAGCUCUCGUUAAAAUGACUCCCUCUUGAAUCUUGUGUCCGACUCCAGCUGUGUCCAAGAGAAUGGAUCUCCAGUUUGUAGUGAGACUUCCGAGCCGCCCAGACCCGUGAAGGCGAGCAGUCCGUCAGAUGAUGAGAGUAGACAACAUAAGCAACAUAAUGAGAGACAAAAGUCACAAUAAUAGAGAUAAAAUGAAGGCACUCAAGUAUUAAUGAGAAAACAAGACAGAAUAAUGAGCAAAGUAAAAUAAUGAGACAGUAAGGCCAGUCAACAAAUAAUAGUGAAUUUACUGUAGGAAGGGUCUGCUGUACUACUUAAUGACCAUUCAAGUCUACUUGUUAAAGAUGUGUUUACAUUUUGAACGGUCAUUUUCUUGUACUAUGAUACAUUUUUAAUUAUUUUCUUACACCUGCCUUAAUUAACAUUGAGUAGAGUCUCACUAAUACAACUUGAAUAUUAUUACUCAGCCGGCAGUCUUUGCCAUGGUGGAGUGUGACACUCUGAAUCAGUACUGACAUUUUAUCAUUUACAUUUCAUUACUUUGAUUAC